rnacentral:rRNA from 1 species
UACGUAGGGUGCGAGCGUUGUCCGGAAUUAUUGGGCGUAAAGGGCUCGUAGGCGGUUUGUCGCGUCGGGAGUGAAAACCAGGUGCUUAACACCUGGCUUGCUUUCGAUACGGGCAGACUAGAGGUAUGCAGGGGAGAACGGAAUUCCUGGUGUAGCGGUGAAAUGCGUAGAUAUCAAGAGGAACACCUGCGGCGAAGGCGGGUUGCUGGGCCGACACUGACGCUGAGGCGCGAAAGCUAGGGGAGCGAACGGG